CUAGGGUUACAGGCAUAAGCCACUGUGCCUGGCAUCACUUUUAGUUUACAGAUAUUGUAUAGAAAUUAUGAGGCCAAACCGUGCAGCCCUCUAUGCUAUACAAGUCGGUGGCAGGGCCAAUGGUUGUGCCGAGACUCGCCACUGCCCAGGCUGCUGGGCCUGAGUGUCGCCUACACCGCCAUGGAUGCCACCGGGCGCUGACAGACCUAUGGAGAGUCGGGUUGUGACUCCCGGGCCUUAUCGGGCCACCAAGCUGUGGAAUGAGGUUACCACAUCUUUUCGAGCAGGAAUGCCUCUAAGAAAACAUGGACAACACUUUAAAAAAUAUGGCAAUUGUUUCACAGCAGGAGAAGCAGUGGAUUGGCUUUAUGACCUAUUAAGAAAUAAUAGCAAUUUUGGUCCUGAAGUUACAAGGCAACAGACUAUCCAACUGUUGAGGAAAUUUCUUAAGAAUCAUAUAAUUGAAGAUAUCAAAGGGAGGUGGGGAUCAGAAAACGUUGAUGAUAACAACCAGCUCUUCAGAUUUCCUGCAACUUCGCCACUUAAAACUCUACCACGAAGGCAUCCAGAAUUGAGAAAAAACAGCAUAGAGAACUCUUCCAAAGAUACAGUAUUUUUAAAUUAUGAAACUCAUCUUGUAGAACUCCUAAAAAGCAUGGAUUACAUUUAUCUCAGGAAAAUGCCGAGAAAAUAAAGCAUGAAAUAAUAAAUGAAGAUCAAGAAAAUGCAGUUGAUGAUAGAGAACUAAGCCAGGAAGACAUUGAAGAAGUUUGGAGAUAUGUUAUUCUGAUCUACCUGCAAACUAUUUUAGGUGUUCCAUCCCUAGAAGAAGCCAUAAAUCCAAAACAAAUAAUUCCCCAAUAUAUAAUGUACAACAUGGCCAAUACAAGUAAACAUGGAGUAGUUAUACUACAAAAUAAAUCAGACGGGUAUUAUCUGGCAUGAAGUGCCUAGCAAAUUGGCCAAGAAGCAAUGAUAUGAAUAAUCCAACUCAUGUUGGAUUUGGACGACAUGUAUUCAGAACAAUCACAGAUUAUUUUCUAGAUCUCCCUGAACCUCAACUUACUUUUGAAUAUUACAAAUUAUUUGUGAACAUUUUGGUUACAUCUUAAUUUUUGUUUCAUUUCCUGGUAGUUAUUUAUGGCUACAUCACAGUUUCAGAUAGAUCCAGUGGGAUACAUAAAAUCCAAGAUGAUCCACAGUCUUCAAAAUUCCUUCACUUAAACAAUUUGAAUUCCUUCAGAUCAACUGAGUGCCUUCUUCUCAGUCUGCUUCAUAGAGAAAAAAAAACAAGAAUCAGAUUCUACUGAGAGACUACAGAUAAGCAAUCCAGGAUUUCAAGAAAGAUGUGCUAAGAAAAUGCAGCUAGUUAAUUUAAGAAACAGAAGAGUGAGUGCUAAUGACAUAAUGGGAGGAAGUUGUCGUAAUUUAAUAGGGUUAAGUAGUAUGCAUGAUCUAUCCUCUAACAGCAAACCAAGGUGCUGUUCUUUGGAAGGAAUUGUAGAUGUGUCAGGGAAUUCAAGUAAAGAGGCAUCCAGUGUCUUUCUUCAAUCUUUUCCGAACAUGGAAGGACAAAAUAAUAAACUGUUUUUAGAGUCUAAGCCCAAAUAGGAAUUCCUGUUGAAUCUCCAUUCAGAGGAAAAUAUUCAAAAGCCAUUCAGUGCUGGUUUUAAGAGAACCUCUACUUUGACUGUUCAAGACCAAGAGGAGUUGUGUAAUGGGAAAUGCAAGUCAGAACAGCUUUGUAGGUCUCAGAGUUUGCUUUUAAGAAGUAGUACAAGAAGAUUCAGUUAUAUCAAUACACCAGUGGCUGAAAUUAUCAUGAAACCAAAUGUUGGACAAGGCAGCACAAGUGUGCAAACAGCUAUGGAAAGUGAACUUGGAGAGUCUAGUGCCACAAUCAAUGAAAGACUGCAAAAGUACAAUAGAACUUACAGAAGAUUCUUUUACUUCCAGCUUCUUCUAUGUUGACUGGCACACAAAGUUUGCUGCAACCUCAUUUAGAGAGGGUUGCCAUCAAUGCUCUACAGUUAUGUUGUUUGUUACUUCCCCCACCAAAUCAUAGAAAGCUUCAGCUUUUAAUGUGUAUGAUUUCCCGAAUGAGUCAAAAUGUUGAUAUGCCCAAACUUCAUGAUGCAAUGGGUGUGAGAUCACUGUUGAUACAUACCUUUUCUCAAUGUGUGUUAUGCUGUGCUGAAGAAGUGGAUCUUGAUGAGCUUGCUGGAAGAUUAGUUUCUUUCUUAAUGGAUCAUGAUCAGGAAAUUCUUCAAGUACCCUCUUACUUACAGACUGCAGUGGAAAAACAUCUCGACUACUGAAAAAAGGGACAUAUUGAAAAUCCUGGAGAUGGACUAUUUGCUCCUUUGCCAACUUACUCAUACUGUAAGCAGAUUAGUGCUCAGGAGUUUGAUGAGCAAAAAAUUUCUACCUCUCAAGCUGCAAUUGCAGAACUUUUAGAAAAUAUUGUUAAAAACAGGAGUUUACCUCUAAAGGAGAAAAGAAAAAAACUAAAACGGUUUCAGAAGGAAUAUCCUUCGAUAUAUCAGAAAAGAUUUCCAACCACGGAGAGUGAAGCAGCACUUUUUGGUGACAAACCUACAGUCAAGCAACCAAUGCUGAUUUUAAGAAAACCAAAGUUCCGUAGUCUAAGAUACUAGCUGAAUUAAAAAUUAUGUAAUACUUGUGGAACUUUGAUAAAUGAAGCCAUAUCUGAGACUACUCAAAAGGAAGUCUGUCAUUAAUAAGGUAUUUCUAAAUAAACACAUUAUGUAAGGUAGUGCCAAAAUAGAUGUUUAUCAAUGUGAGACUCCUAGGAAACUAACUAGAUCUCAAUUGAGAGCACAUAACAUAUACUUUUUGUUUUUAACACAGCUAUCCAGUAAGGCUAUCAUGAUGUGUGCUAAAAUUUUAUUUACUUGAAUUUUGAAAACUGAGCUGUGUUAGGGAUUAAACUAUAAUUCUGUUUUUAAAAGAAAAUUUAUCUGCAAAUGUGCAAGUUCUGAGAUAUUAGCUAAUGAAUUAGUUGUUUGGGGUUACUUCUUUGUUUCUAAGUAUAAGAAUGUGAAGAAUAUUUGAAAACUCAAUGAAAUAAUUCUCAGCUCCCAAAUGUUGCACUCUUUUAUAUAUUCUUUUUCCACUUUUGAUCUAUUUAUAUAUAUGUAUGUGUUUUUAAAAUAUGUAUAUAUUUUAUCGGAUUUGGUUUUGCCUAAAAUAUUAUCCCCAACUGCUUCAGUCAUUCAUUUGUUCAAUAUAUAUAUUUUGAAUUCUAAUUUUCAUAAUCUAUUAGAAGAUGGGGAUGUAAAAGAAGUAUAAGGCAAUCAUAUAUUCAUUCAAAAGAUAUUUAUUUAGCAACCGCUAUGUGCCUUUCAUUAUUCCAGAUAUGCGGAGACAAUGAUAAAUAAAACAUAUAAUCUCUUCCAUAAGGUAUUUAUUUUUUAAUCAAGGGAGAUACACCUAUCAGAUGCUUAAAAUAACAACAUUACCCACUGAAAUCAGGGCGUAUAGAAUCAUUCAGCUAAAGACUGACUUCUAUGAUGAUGGAACAGGUCUCUAAGCUAGUGGUUUUCAAACUGGUGUGCAUUAGACUCAACUGAGGAGUUUUAAAACAGCCUGUAUGCCCAGGGCCUAACUUUUACUAAUUAGAUCUGAAUUUUGGGGAUGUUGUAUAGGGAUUAGUAUUUUUUUUAAUCUAGGUGAUUCCAAUAUUCAGCCAACUGUGAGAAUCAGUGGCCUAAAUGCUUUUUAUAAACAUUUUUAUAAGUGUCAAGAUAAUGGCACAUUGACUUUAUUUUUUCAUUGGAAGAAAAUACUUGCCAAGUAUAAAUGACUCUCAUCUUAAAACAAGCUUCUUCAGGUUUCUGCUUGAUUGACUUGGUACAAACUUGAAGCAAGUUGCCUUCUAUUUUUUACUUCAAGAUUGUUUCAUAUCUAUUCCUUAAGUGUGAAGAAAUAUAUAAUGCCUGGGUUGUAAUAAAAUCUCAAUGUUUAA